GCCCGGCUAGCUCAAUCGGUAGAGCGUGAGACUCUUAGAAUCUGUAUCAAACACAGAUGACGUAAUCUCAAGGUUGCGGGUUCGACCCCCGCGUUGGGCU
rfam:Glarea lozoyensis ATCC 20868 chromosome Tnknown GLAREA21, whole genome shotgun sequence.